AUAACGACUCUCGGCAACGGAUAUCUCGGCUCUCGCAUCGAUGAAGAACGUAGCGAACUGCGAUACUUGGUGUGAAUUGCAGAAUCCCGUGAACCAUCGAGUCUUUGAACGCAAGUUGCGCCCGAAACCUUCGGGUCGAGGGCACGUUUGCCUGGGUGUCACA
rnacentral:rRNA from 32 species